rnacentral:rRNA from 1 species
GAACGCACUCUUCGGAGUGAGUGGCAGACGGGUGAGUAACACGUGGGAACGUGCCCUUCGGUUCGGAAUAACUCAGGGAAACUUGAGCUAAUACCGGAUACGCCCUUACGGGGAAAGGUUUACUGCCGAAGGAUCGGCCCGCGUCUGAUUAGCUAGUUGGUGGGGUAAUGGCCUACCAAGGCGACGAUCAGUAGCUGGUCUGAGAGGAUGAUCAGCCACACUGGGACUGAGACACGGCCCAGACUCCUACGGGAGGCAGCAGUGGGGAAUAUUGGACAAUGGGCGAAAGCCUGAUCCAGCCAUGCCGCGUGAGUGAUGAAGGCCUUAGGGUUGUAAAGCUCUUUCGACGGGGACGAUAAUGACGGUGCCCGUACAAGAAGCCCCGGCUAACUUCGUG